rnacentral:lncRNA from 1 species
CCCCACCCCAGAGCUUACCUUCCCACAGGCCUAAAGCUCCGCGGUCUGAGCCCCUGGAGGUCUGCGGUGGAGCUGCGACUCCCAGAGCUCGCGGGGGCUCCGCGUGUCCUCUUGGGUCCGGGGAUCCUGCUUGGCUGCGGCACGCGUCUGCUUGGUGCGGGGACUCUAAGAUUCCAGGAGGACACGGGGUUGGCGCUGGGGAUCCUGCGGGGCCAGUGUCGCGAUUGCAGUCGCAGAGCUGGGUCUCGGGCUCCCGCCUGCAGCUCCGGAGCGGCGCUGGAGCGAGAGCCGCCCGGCCAGCCCCUCCUCGUCCUCUCCCAGCCCUGCCCGCCCCUCGCCCCUCAGCCGCCCUCUCUGUCCCCUCCUCCGGGAGCCGAGCCCGCCCUUCAGCCUAGGCGGCGCGGGAGACGCGGGGACGGGAGGGGGCGGCUCCCUGGGUGCUGGCCUGGAGGGACGCGCCGAGGCCGCAAGCCGCCGCCGGGGCAGAGGCGCAUGGCCCAGGUUGGCCCCGGCCCAGGGCCUCGGGCUCUGCCGCUGUCCUGGCCUGGCGGGCAGAGCCAGACGCACAGCCCGCGCCUCCCCACCUUCUGGGCUCUAACUCCGGGAACUGAAGCAGUGGGACUCCUGCUCAGGUUUGCUCUAAGUGAGCUCGAGAAUCUAUUGCUUCAGAACUCUCAGUACCAUGAAGUCAGUGGAAUGAUCACUGUCAAGAAUGAGUGCGCAACAGGGGAGCAAAUGACAUCAUUCAUCUCUGGCACAGUGGGAAUGAGUGGAGAUGGACGUGGUCAAGGAACAUUUCUUCACUCCAUGCUCUUAAUAAUUGAGAAACACAUGGGGAUACUGUUUCUAACCCUAACUACUGAAACAACAGGUGGACCUGGAAGUCAUUCAAGAACUGAGAUAAGGACAGCUUCUUUCAUAAAUGACCGGGGAGGUGAAAGUCUAGAAAAUAAACAGUGAACUUCUCACUUUGAAAUAGCAAUAAUUAUAGAGUAAUAAAUAUCAAAUACAUAAGAGAAAAAAGACAAAAUUAAAGACAUUUGUUGCAUUACAUGAAAAAAGCCAUGAGAUUAAAAAAUGUAGAGAUUUUGACUUCUUCUAAAUAAAGUUGAUAAGCAAGCAUUAAUGCUUUCCCCUCUGUACCUUCUGUAGUCACACACAAAUGGACCCACCCCAAACACACACACGCACUCAGAGUUUACUUUUAACAAGAGUUGAAGCCAUACACAUUUGUGUUUGUAUUUGGAGACACAGAUUGGGGAGAGCAUAAGGGAGGAACAUCUCAGGGGUUUCCAGAAGCAAAGUGGAUCAUGGCUCAGCUGAGCAGCUCCUCAAAAGCCACUCCCAGCUGUGCUCCAGUCUGCCCCACUGUGAAGGCUAAACUGCUAAUUGCUUUCCUUCCCUUUCUUACAGUAAAGUGUAGGUAUAAGACCUAAUUCUGGGUCAUGCGGAGUACAUGGAAAUCUGCUGGGGUGUCUGUGAGAGAACUUUUGGGUCUCUGAUGAAAGGACAUGUAUUUGCCUGGUGUGGCCUGGUGCCCACUGUUGCUUUAUCAUAGUCACUUAGACAUUGCACUGAUUCUUGUCAAUGCCAGAGCAAACUUAGUAGCUGAAGACAAUACAGAUCUGUUAUCUCACCAUCCUGGGUGUCAGAAGACUGAGACAGGACUCACCUGAUGGAAACCAAGGGGUAGGCAGUGCUCAGUUCCGUAGAGUUUCCAGAGAGAAUCUAAUUCUUUGCAUCUCACUGUGCGGGCUCUAGAAGCCACCACAUUCCUUACCUCUUGGCCCUUUCCUCUGUGUUCAAAGCCAGCAAUGCUAGAAUGAGUCCUCCUACCACCAUCCAGGGACUCUGGCUUGCUUUUCCACUUUAAUGACCCUUGGAGUUAGAAGGAUCCCACCUGGAUAAUCAGGAUAAUGUCCCCAUAUGGAGUGGGCUGGUUGCUAACUGCAGUCCCCUUCCCAUGUAAACUCACAGCAGGCCCCAAGGAGUGGCAUGUGGACUUUCUUGGGGACCAAUCCUCUGCCUUCCCAUAGAUGCUAUGACGGAUGGGAGCAGCAGCACCACAUUGGCGUCUGCACCCAAAUCGUCACCUACAGAGCUGCAGACUUCUUGUUACAGGAGAAAAAUAAAUACCUGUGAUUGUGAUUUUUAUUGCCUGUGAGUGGAUACAUCUCUAAUGCAUAUAGACUUAAAUACUAUACCGCUAGCUAAGGGCUUAUUAUUUUCAGAACAUGAAAUAAAGUCAUUUUUAGAUUUAUAAUUCUUAGAAAAUUUGCCGCUUCAGACUGUUUUCCAGUAAUGCAAAUGAGAAUGUAUUCUGAAAAUUUAGGUGAAUAAACAAUUCAUUCUUUAUUAUAGAAGUUGUGACUGGAAAAAAAGUGCCUAUAGUCACUUUGACUAUCUAAAAUUGUAGGAUAAAUGAAACACAAAACAAGAUAUAAACCUGCAAAUCACUAUCCAGUAAUGAGGGAAAUUAAGGAAUUGAGCCUAAUUAUUUCAACAAAAGUUAUAUAAAAAGGAGAUAUAAAAAGAAUGUCUUAUUUUUAAAAUGAAAUCUUAAAUUCUAAGUUAUAUAAGGAAGAAUUAAAGAGACUAGCAAAGAUGAGGAUGUCAUUUUUGCUAAAUUCCUUAACAUCCACCAUAGGAAGUCAGUAGUUAUUGUUGGCAUAAUUAGGUAAAAAGAAUUUUAAUGGUUUAAAAUAAUCAUGUCAGACUAUCUUUGAAAUAAGGUAUUACUCUUAGACAAGUCAUAGAUAAAAGAUAAAAGCAAAUGGUCAUAGUUCAUUCAUCCAAAGGGAAAAUAGUGAUAACAAAGAAGCAUUAAAAUAUAGAAAGCAAAAUUAAAGUGACACAUAUCAAAUGAUGUAUAGUUUCCAAUGAACAUGAUAUUCUCAAUUUCUUAUUGGUUGAUGUUGUAAGUAUAUUGUGAAAUUUCUUCCCCUAGUAAGUAACAAAAAGUCAGGCCGGGGAUUUAGCUCAAUGGUGCCGCCACCUGCCUUGAAAGUGCAAGGUCCUGAGUUCAAUCCUGGGUACCAAAAAGAACCACUUUUCUC